GUGAACACUUGAUCAAACUUUUAUUCAAAUGAAAACAUUGUUUUGUUUGAAAUAGCUACAAAGUACAACAUGUUAGCAUUCACAGUCAAACAUCAACAUAUAACACAGCCAAACAUCAACAUUUAAAAUAGUCUAACAACAUUUUACACAGCUGCACGACCAAAAGCCAAUGUCAAUGCUCUAUAUAUGGCAGUGAGCCCUCAAUGUUAUCAAUAUGAUUCAAACUAUUUCAAACAAUGCAACAAGAAGAAAAAAAAAGGAGUUAUGGCACUUGAAUAAAAAAAAUAAAUCAUGAAUCUCAUGGCUACCAUUCAAAAUAUCACAUGCACAACUUGCGUACAGGCCAGGCACUUUUGACUGGUAUCAAACAGCAACUCAGUGGAGACAUAGAACACAGUGAAAUGAGGCAGGAGAUGCAUUAAGACAAAACACAUUUCCCCUAGGUGGAUGUGUCUGUUGAGAUGUGUCAUGACAAGAUAAGAACAUUAGAUAAAACUGUGGAGAUCCACUUAUCUCACUUUCUUUUAUUACCCAGUUAACAACAAAAAUAAAAAAAUAAGAUAAUAAAGAAUACAAUUUUGAGCUACAUCUCUAUGAGCUCUGAGGAGUUCAGGCCUGAAGUUUGGAUCAUUGACUAAAGGCAUUAUCCCUGAUGGUAUGAUCCAUACCUAAGGAAUGAUUAGGGCCUGAUUGAUAUCUGAAGACAUGAUCCGUAUGAUUGAGGCCUUAAGCCAUGAUUAGGACCUGAGGGUUAGAUUGAUACCUGAAGAUAGGACAAAAUGUGUCUUCAUAAAACAAAAAUAUACACAUCAAGUCUAAAAAAACAAAUAUACACAACCACAAGCUGUGAGAAGACAGGAACUCAACUUGGAAACUUAACAAAAUAAACAGAAGCUUUAAGACUUACAUUUGUUGAAAUGAGUUCAGUUUAAAAAUAUCUUGACAGAUUUUACUUCUAAACUAAUGACAUACACAUAUUUGUAUAUAAAAUUUUAAGAAUCCUGUUGAUAAAAAUAAUAUAAAAAAAAAUAACAAUACAGAAAUUGUAUAAAACUUUUUAUGAAAACCUUUUUUCUUUCAGAUUUCUGGGUAGUCUUUAAGAAAUAGAUUAAUAUAUAAGAAUAUCUGUGUAAUUCUUAGGCAUCAGGAAGUAAAUUGAUACAUCAUUAUCCAACCUUAGUUCACGUGUUGCACAACCCAGUCACCUUAGAACAGUUACACCUCAUUUUAAAACCUUAUUUAUUAAACCUAGAUAAACCUAGAUGUAGGGUAAACUGUACUGCUAACUACAACUGAACUGUAGCAAUAAACCCAAUAAUACAAAACUGUGGCCCUAAACAAAACUGAAAUUUUAAGAGUUUCUUGUCAACUAUGACACAACAAUAUUAACAUUUGAUUCAAUAAAUAACCAACUGAGUCUGUUAAGUGACUAGGUCACCUGGCUUCCUCUACCUCAGACUAAAGCACAACUGUUAUGGAUAGACAAAAAUUAACUUCAUCUCAGAAAAAAUAACACCUUAUCCUCAGGAACAAAUUACAACUUAUCAGGAACAAAUAACAACUUAUCCUCAGGAAUAAAUUACAACUUAUCCUCAGGAAUAAAUUACAACUUAUCCUCAGGAAUAAAUUACAACUUAUCCUCAGGAACAAAUUACAACUUAUCCUCAGUAACAAUUUACA